rnacentral:tRNA from 1 species
GCGGGCAUAUAUUAAUGGUAAAUUUGUUAUUUUCCAAGUAAUCGAUAUGGGUUCGAUUCCCAUUGUCCGCU